rnacentral:ncRNA from 1 species
AAUAUUUUAGGGCAAACUAUUCGAAAGGAUAGGACGCAAAGCCUAGGGUCUAAGGUUGGAAAUUCAAAGAUUUUCUACUAUGAUCGCCUGGUUGCCAAC